rnacentral:rRNA from 1 species
AUUGAACGCUAGCGGGAUGCUUUACACAUGCAAGUCGAACGGCAGCGCGGACUUCGGUCUGGCGGCGAGUGGCGAACGGGUGAGUAAUGUAUCGGAACGUGCCCAGUAGCGGGGGAUAACUACGCGAAAGCGUAGCUAAUACCGCAUACGCCCUACGGGGGAAAGCAGGGGAUCGUAAGACCUUGCACUAUUGGAGCGGCCGAUAUCGGAUUAGCUAGUUGGUGAGGUAACGGCUCACCAAGGCGACGAUCCGUAGCUGGUUUGAGAGGACGACCAGCCACACUGGGACUGAGACACGGCCCAGACUCCUACGGGAGGCAGCAGUGGGGAAUUUUGGACAAUGGGGGCAACCCUGAUCCAGCCAUCCCGCGUGUGCGAUGAAGGCCUUCGGGUUGUAAAGCACUUUUGGCAGGAAAGAAACGUCGCGGGCUAAUACCCCGUGGAACUGACGGUACCUGCAGAAUAAACACCGGCUAACUACGU